GUGGGGAAUUUUGGACAAUGGGCGCUAGCCUGAUCCAGCAAUGCCGCGUGCAGGAAGAAGGCCUUCGGGUUGUAAACUGCUUUUGUACGGAACGAAACGGUCCGGGUUAAUACCCUGGGCUAAUGACGGUACCGUAAGAAUAAGCACCGGCUAACUACGUGCCAGCAGCCGCGGUAAUACGUAGGGUGCAAGCGUUAAUCGGAAUUACUGGGCGUAAAGCGUGCGCAGGCGGUUUUGUAAGACAGGCGUGAAAUCCCCGGGCUCAACCUGGGAAUUGCGCUUGUGACUGCAAGGCUGGAGUGCGGCAGAGGGGGAUGGAAUUCCGCGUGUAGCAGUGAAAUGCGUAGAUAUGCGGAGGAACACCGAUGGCGAAGGCAAUCCCCUGGGCCUGCACUGACGCUCAUGCACGAAAGCGUGGGGAGCAAACAGGAUUAGAUACCCGUGUAGUCC
rnacentral:rRNA from 1 species